CAUUCAAAGAUGCUUCUGCCCUUCAUAUUUCUGUCAUCAGGGGUGAAGAAUUGUUGCAGAACCUCUAUCUACUCCACUUUCAACCCAUAUGGGCCCUGUCUGUCUCACAGGUGAUCACAGUUUGGAAACAGUUUCCUUUUCGUGAUGUCCAUGAUGUGCCACCAGGGAAGCUGGUGGUACGUGGGUACACAGAGAUCAACAGCAGACAAAGUAGCCUUUGUGAAUGCCAACAGAUCCUCAAUUUCCGUGCUGCCACUUGUGCAGAUCGGCCCCUGAGCAGCAGCCAGAGGGGAGAGAACUGAAUGGAAGGUCUGCUAAUGGAGACAGGCAGCCCCAGACUUCUGGUGAUCACGUUUAGCUUUCAACGGCUGCAUGAAACACAAAGUUCAAGUUAAGCAGGGCCACAGAGAGAGAAGGACAGCGCUGUAGAAAAGACCAGAGGCCCUUCCACCAGAGCCCGCUAUGACGGGUCCCACCGUGAACAUCUUGAGCCCUAAUAAAUCCUGGCUGUUACUUACACAACAAGCAGCCACUUUCUGCCUCCAAAUCUGGCUCAGCUCCG
rnacentral:lncRNA from 1 species